rnacentral:rRNA from 1 species
CCCAGUGCUUUUGUGAUGCGCUCUCGACGAGUCGAGUUGUUUGGGAUUGCAGCUCAAAAUGGGAGGUAAAUUCCUUCUAAAGCUAAAUAUUGGCGAGAGACCGAUAGCGAACAAGUACCGUGAGGGAAAGAUGAAAAGCACUUUGGAAAGAGAGUUAAACAGUACGUGAAAUUGUUAAAAGGGAAACGCUUGAAGUCAGUCACGUUUGCUUGGACUCAGCCUUACUUCGGUUUGGUGCAUUUCCUUGUAGAGGGGCCAGCGUCCAUGUUGUUUGCCGGAGAAGGGGUGAGAGAAUGUGGCUCCUUUGGGAGUGUUAUAGCUUUCGCUCGUAUGCGGGGAACGAUAUGGAGUGGUACAGCACACUUCGGUGGUGCUUGUGCUGGCAUAAUGGCUUUAAACGACCCGUCUUGAAACACGGACCAAGGAGUCUAACAUGUCUGCGAGUGUUUGGGUGGAAAACCCGGGCGCGUAAUGAAAGUGAUGGCUGGGAACCCCUUCGGGGAGGCACCGGCGCCCCGAGCUGACCUUCUGUGACGCAUCGGAGGCAGAGCAUAUAUGUUGGGACCCGAAAGAUGGUGAACUAUGCCUGAAUAGGGCGAAGCCAGAGGAAACUCUGGUGGAGGCUCGUAGCGAUUCUGA